rnacentral:rRNA from 1 species
GAUGAACGCUGGCGGCGUGCCUAAUACAUGCAAGUCGAGCGAACGGACGAGAAGCUUGCUUCUCUGAUGUUAGCGGCGGACGGGUGAGUAACACGUGGAUAACCUACCUAUAAGACUGGGAUAACUUCGGGAAACCGGAGCUAAUACCGGAUAAUAUUUUGAACCGCAUGGUUCAAAAGUGAAAGACGGUCUUGCUGUCACUUAUAGAUGGAUCCGCGCUGCAUUAGCUAGUUGGUAAGGUAACGGCUUACCAAGGCAACGAUGCAUAGCCGACCUGAGAGGGGGAUCGGCACCACGGGAGAGGGGACCAGGUCCAACCCCCGACGGGAGGCAGCGGUGGGAAUCUUUCGGCAAGGGGGGAAAGCCUAGAGGGGAAACGGCGGGGGGGUGAGAAAGGUCUUGGGAUCGUAAAACUUUUUUUUUGGGGAAAAACAAAUGUUUAAGUAACGGGACAAAUAUGAAGGGACCCGAAGAAGAAAGCCCGGCCAACCCCGGG